UAGGAAUGCAGUUCGAUCACAAAUCAAAUCCUCUAACUUAAAACUUCUAUUAUUUUGAGUAAUUAUAUGUGAGAUCUCAAUAGAAUAUAUGAGAAUGUAUGAGAUCUCACACGCUAGUAAUAGUAACUAGACUUAAACAUUUUGAACCGAUGGUUUGGGCUCAACGUAUGAGUUAUUAUUGCUAACUUAUUGGAUCGUUACAAUUGGUAUCAGAGUAUACCAGCCGGAUGUGGACCAGACGAGGAUGUCAUGGUCUAAAUAGGAGGAGUUUGUAACGCUCCAUAUCAGAUGAAAAAAAAAUUCUAAUUAGAACAUAUGUGGCAUCACAUGUUAGUAAUAAUAUACAAUGUAUGUUU
rnacentral:lncRNA from 1 species